rnacentral:rRNA from 1 species
GACGAACGCUGGCGGCGUGCUUAACACAUGCAAGUCGAACGGUAAGGCCCUUCGGGGUACACGAGUGGCGAACGGGUGCGUAACACGUGGGUGAUCUGCCCUGCACUUCGGGAUAAGCCUGGGAAACUGGGUCUAAUACCGGAUAGGACCCUGGGAUGCAUGUCCUGGUGGUGGAAAGCUUUUGCGGUGUGGGAUGGGCCCGCGGCCUUUCAGCUUGUUGGUGGGGUGAGGGCCUACCGAGGCGACGACGGGUAGCCGGCCUGAGAGGGUGACCGGCCACACUGGGACUGAGAUACGGCCCAGACUCCUACGGGAGGCAGCAGUGGGGAAUAUUGCACAAUGGGCGCAAGCCUGAUGCAGCGACGCCGCGUGAGGGAUGACGGCCUUCGGGUUGUAAACCUCUUUCAGCACCGACGAAGCGCAAGUGACGGUAGGUGCAGAAGAAGGACCGGCCAACUACGUGCCAGCCGCCGCGGUAA